GACGAACGCUGGCGGCGUGCCUAACACAUGCAAGUCGAGCGGAGCCAUCUUAACAAUCCCUUCGGGGUGCGUUAGGGGAAGCUUAGCGGCGGACGGGUGAGUAACGCGUGAGUAACCUGCCCAUUAGUGGGGAAUAACACAGAGAAAUUUGUGCUAAUACCGCAUGAUGAAUAUUGAAGGCAUCUUCGAUAUUUUAAAGAUUUAUCGCUAAUGGAUGGACUCGCGUCUGAUUAGAUAGUUGGUGAGGUAACGGCUCACCAAGUCGACGAUCAGUAGCCGAACUGAGAGGUUGAUCGGCCACAUUGGGACUGAGACACGGCCCAGACUCCUACGGGAGGCAGCAGUGGGGGAUAUUGCGCAAUGGGGGAAACCCUGACGCAGCAACGCCGCGUGCAGGAUGACGGCCUUCGGUGUAACUGUGUCGCAAGGAGAAAAAUAGACGGUACCUUGUGAGAAAGCCACGGCUAACUACGUGCCAGCAGCCGC
rnacentral:rRNA from 1 species